AUUCAGAGAAACCCUGGAAUAAAAAAAAUGGGCAAUCCUGAGCCAACUCCUCCUUUCCAAAAGGAAGAAUAAAAAAGGAUAGGUGCAGAGACUCAAUGGAAGCUGUUCUAACAAAUGGAGUUGACGAUCUUGCGUUAGUAGUUAUUAUAAGAAUUCUUCCAAACUCCAAAAAAGAUGAAGAAUAAACCUAUCCGCAGACGUACUUAAAUAUAAAUACUAUAUAAAUAUAAAUAACUUAUUAUUAUAUAAUAACUAUAUAUAUAAUUAUUAAAUUAAAAAAUAUUGAUGACGACCCGCAUUUUUUUAUGACUAUGAAAAGAUGGAAGAAUUGUUGUGAAGCGAUUCCAAGUUGAAGAAAGAAUCGACUAUUCGUUUAAUAAAUUAAAGCAUUUAUUCCCUGAAGUCUGAUAGAUCUUUUGAAGAACCGAUCCAUCGGAUGAGAAUGAAGAUAGAGUCCCAUUCUACGUGUCAAUCCUGACAACAAUGAAAUUUAUAGUAAGAGGA
rnacentral:precursor_RNA from 1 species